CCAGUGCAUGCUGUUGCCACAUUAUUUUGUUCGGCGGAGGACAUCUCACCUGCUCCUUGGCUCUAUGAUAGCCAGGUUGAUGACUUUGCUUGACUAGCUGAGAGGAGGUGCAUGGCCGCCGUCAGCUCGUACCGUGAGGCGUCCUGUUAAGUCAGGCAACGAGCGAGACCCACGCCCUUAGUUACCAGCUUAUCCUUUGUUGGAUGAUGGACACACUGAGGCGACCGCCUAUGAUAAAUAGGAGGAAGAAGUCGACGACGGUAGGUCCGUAUGCCACGUAUCUUCUGGGCAACACGCGGGCUACAGUGGCUGAGACAAUGUGCUCCGACACAGAAGGGUGGAGAUACUCCUCUACACUUAGUCGUAGUUCGGAUGGAGGACUGUCACUCGCUCUCAUGAGGCUGGAAUGCGUAGUAAUCGCGUAUCACUAUCGCGCGGAGAAUACGUUCUUGCUUCUAGCACAAAA
rnacentral:rRNA from 1 species